rnacentral:lncRNA from 10 species
GCGAUGUUGCCAUCUCAAUGCCCAGCCAGCUGGUAAGGGAGGGUCACAAGACCCAAGAUGGGUAAUUGUAGUUACCCACACACCUAGCUAUGGUGAUUGGUCUAAAAUGAUAGUAAAUUGCUCAAAUCCAGCCAGAGCAUCUUCCCAAAGAUUUUUUUUUAAGAAGCCUUGUUCCAAUGAUGUAUUGGAGCUAAUCAAUGGGCUCUUACUGGUUCAUACAAGCCAACUGCUAAAUUUUCAGGAAUUUUGCAAGCUAGUCAAUAAAAUGCUGGCAGCUUGAAAUCAGCCAUGAUGGGGGUAUUUACAGCACAAAAAUGUCAAAGUGCUACAAGUUGGGAUUUCUCUUUUUUAUUUUAGCUUUUAAUUUCAAAGAACAAAAACAAUAUCUUUUCUUUAUAAUCUUUCCUCCAAGAAUGUAUUCUGUUAUGCUUAACACAUCUUUGUGAGUCACAUUAUGAGGCUUUAAUCACAAUAACGGUAUUAUAGUGAGAUGUGGUAGUGUUAGGAUGGGAAUCAGGAAUGAGGACAUCGUGUUUUUCAGACCUAAGGUCUCACUUCUACAGACAACAUUGAACAUUCAGGUUUCAGAAUCAGAGAGUUGAGUUCAAAUCCUACCUCUGGCUCUCACAAUCUAACAUGGGCAUGUUCCUCAAGCCUAUCUUCAGGAUGGUUUGGUUGUGUGUUAAUAUUUGAUAGAGAGGUAUAAUCUUUCCCUAAAAGUGAAUUUCCUCUCCCCUUACCUCGAAGUGCUUCCCAGAAUUCACAGAAUGUUUUGUCGCAUAUUUUUUAAUUCCAAAAUUCUUGGCAAUAAUUUUCUAGACCGCACUGUAUCUGCUGAUAAGCACCUUGUGUCUGUGUGGCAUUUUUUACUUUUCAAACUAUUUUCCAAUUUCUGCCGCACUAGAUCAGAUUCUUGAAAUGCAGCCUAUAUCUGAGAUAGCAUUCAUCUCAAAGAGAGACAUAGUUUGGUGACUUCUUAAGAAAUUUGAAAGGAUCUGUUCAUUUGUUACCAGCAACACCUUUUGUUGAUAAAGUGCCUUAUGAAGUUUUCAUUGAUUAUGAACUCACCAGUACAUAUGUGAUUAUACACCCCAAAAAGGUGUCAAGCUUUGAGCCUAACUUACCAUACAGCUAUGGAUAGAUAGAUAGAUAGAUAGAUAGAUAGAUAGAUAGAUAGAUAGAUAGAUAGACAGAGGCAUACAUACAUACAUGUGUGCAUAUAAUGACACAUAUAUACAUAAAGGCCCAGAUGCAGAACAAAAUUUUUGCUUUGAGAAAUGCUGUGGUCUAGUUGGUUUGGAAAUUCUGGUACCUUAGCUUAUACACCAGGAGAUGUUGAUGAUUAAUUUUAGUUGUUAACUUGAUUGGAUUAAGGAAUACUCAGAUAGCUGGUAGGGCAUACUUUUGCCAUAUGUCUGUGUGGUUGUUUAUGGAAGAGAUUGGCAUUUGAAUCAGUGGGCUGAGUAAGGAAGAUCUACCCUCAUCCAAGGUAGGUGGACAUCAUCCAAUCAGCUGAGAGCCCAGAUAGAACAAAAAGUCAGAGGAAAGGUGAGCUUGCUCUCUCUCUUCUCUCUCUCUCUCUCUUCUGAAGUUGGAUACCCUCCUUCUCCUUCCUUUGGACAUCAGAACUCCAGGUUCUCCAGUCUUUGGACUCCAGCAUUUGCACAAACACCUGAAGGUUCUCAGGCCUUCCGCCUUGGAAUUGGAGCUACACCACUGGCUUCCCUGGCUCUCCAGCUUGCUGAGGGCAUAUUGUAUAACUCCUCAGCUUACCUAAUUGCAUGAACCCCUAAUAAGUUCUAUCUAGUGCCCUAUUGGUUAUGUCUUUCUGGAGAACCCUAAUACAAAUAUCAUACUUAAAUUUCACUGUUCAUUUCAAUAAAUAUUUAUUGAGCACAUUUCUGUGUUAGAGACAGAGACAUCUGUACUUGAAUCUCUCAAGCAAAUCUCCAUCUUUAAAGAAUGUAACCUGAAUUUUUUGAUCAUUCAAAUCAAAGUAUUCUCAUAAGUAACAUUUAAUGUAACUUGUUAAUUUUCCAAUGAUUCUUACUCUCAGAAAUUGUUUGGUUGCUUCAUGAAAUUAUUACAAUGAAAUAUUUCUUCUAAAAAACUUCCUCAGCUAUUUGUCUCAGUCAGCUAGGGCUGAUAUACCAAAAUACCAUAGACUGGGUGGCUUAAACAAUAGACAUUUAUUUCUCAUAAUUCUGGAGGCAACAUGCCCAAGAUCAGGGUGCCAGUAUGGCCAGGUUCUUAUUGAGGGCUCUCUUCCUCACUUGCUGAUGGUCACCUUUCUGCUGUAUCCUCACAUAGUGGAGAGUGAAAGUUCUGAUGUUUCUCCCUCUUCUUAUAAGGACUGAUGCCAUCAUGGAGGCUUUACCCUUAUGACCACAUCUAAACCUAAUUCCUUUUCAAGAGCCCCACCUCCUAAUACCAUGACACUGGGGAUUAGGGCUUCAACAUAUGGACUUUGGUGGACCACCAACUUCAGUCCCUAACACCACUGCUAUAAGAAUGAAUGUUUGUGUCUCCCCAAAUUCAUAUUUUGCAAUCUAAUCCUUAAUGGUAUAAUAUGAGAAGGUGGGGCCAUUGGGAGAUGAUUAAGUCAUGAAGGCUCUGCCCACAUGAAUGGCAUUAAUGCCCUUAUAAAAGAAACCCCAGAGAGCUAGCUGGCCUUGUCUGUCAUGUAAGCAUGCAGCAAGAAGGUGCCAUGAGCAAGAGAGCAAGCCUUCACCAGACACCAAAUCUGCCAGCAGCUUGAUUGUGGACUUAUCAGCCUCCAGAACUGUGAGCAAUAAAGUUUCUUUUGUUUAUAGACUAUACAGUUCAUGGUACUUUGUUAUAGCAGCCCAAAAGUACUAAGACAACUACCUCUUGGGAGACUUCUAGGUGUGCUCAUUACAACCUUCUUGACCUGGACCUCAUCUGUGUUGCUGAUUUAUGUGUCAGUAAUGGGAACAACAACAAAGACUGUCAAAGGCAGGAAAAUAGCAUAUAUUCAAGGACUUUAAUAGGAAAAAAGGGCAGGAUUUAACUUGAUAAUGCCAUAAUUGUCUUAACACCAAACUGAAAGAAGUGGCAUCACUAGAGCUGUGGCAAAGGAUCAACAGCUGGGGAGGUGCGAGAGACUGAAGGAAGAUUCAAAGUGCUCCAGGAAGUUUCUUACCAGCAUUAUCUCCUGACCAUGUGAGGGUUUUCUGUGCUUUCUUCAUCAGGCCUUUUUCAGUUAUGAGUGAAUCCCAAAUCAAACUGACUUAAGAAACACAAAAGUAAGCAUGAAAUAUAUUAGCUCUUGAAUACCUGGGAAGUUCAAGGAUCCAAGUCAUGACUGGAUGUAGGGGUUCAAAUAUUGUCCCUAGAACUAAGGGUAUUUCCAUUUCUUAGCUCUCAGAAUCUCUGCUUCACCCCAGAUAGUCUCUGCCCACAUGGUGGCCCCAAGCAGUACUCCAUGUAACCAUGAUGUCCAGGGACACAGAAUGUUCUGAUUGGCCGAGCUUGUAUCAUGUGCCUACCCUGGGGACUAAGGGGUGUGGUUAGUCCCACUUGAACCACAUGACUUGGGGGUAGGAUCUGGUCCCUAAGAAGAGAUAAGAACCUUUUGAUUAAAAGAUGGGGAGAAGAGAUGUUAGGAUUUCAGUUCUCCAUGACUAGUGUCUGGCUGCAACCCCAGGCAGGCAGUGUCCAUUAAAACUUCAGGCUUUAAGGUCAAACAGACCUGUAUUCAUAUCCUAGGUCUGCCACUUCCUAGCAGUGGGGACUCAGGAAAGUUGCAUAAUCUCUCUGUAUCUAUCUAUAAAGUGGAAAUAUUAAUUAUACCUUGCUCAUAGAUUUCCUGUGAGGAUUAUAUGAGACCAUGAGUGUAUAGAAAGCACAAUAUAGUACCCGGCAAACAGUAACCAAGCACUUAAAUAUGUAAAGAAGGACGUGUGACUGACAAGCAUAGAUAAUUUAGAGACAAAAUGAAUUUUAUCUCUGAAAAGUCAUGGGCACCUUUUAAAAUCAUUGAUAAGAAGAUGGAAACAAAACUCAAACUUAAUUCAUCUACUGGUAUGAAAUGUUUCAUAGGUGUACUAAGGUGUUUCUCAAACAUUUCGUAAGGAUUUCCAUCACUACAUUAAAGAUUUUCUCAAUGGUUUCAUGACUUCAGAGAGGUAACCACUAUUUAGCUUCUGCACCUUUACUAAAAGUAUGUGCAUGAUUUAGGAGAAAUAUUUUGAAAUAUUAGGGUUUUUCACAGCCCUAAAUUACUCUUUUGUGGUCAUCGGCAAAUGCAGGCUACCUGGUUAUAUAUUUUGAUGGGGAAGAAGAGGGGAAAUUCAGGACCUACAUAAGAGAUUAAAGUAAAAUCUAAUACAAAAUUGAGAUUGGUAACACAGCACAGAAGUGCCAAAACUGCAUGGAUAAGUGAUUUUGAAAACCAUCAAACAGACAUUCCACAAGGUCAACCAAAAUGCAGUGUGCCGGAGAGUAAUGAGUGACUUUAGUCCAAUAGUUAUUCAAGUGCCUGAGAGAAAGUUUUUCUCUUCUGCUAGCCUCUUUCCCUUAUAGGAGAAUAUUAUGUAAUGCAUACAUUUCAUCUUACCUUUAAUUGCCUGGUUUAAUAAUAAAUACUUAACAAUUUUUUUGUAAUUUUUGCCAUACCGGAGGAGAAAUCUGUCUUGGUGUUGGAGCCUCUUGGAAUUCGUGACAAGGAAAAAAGUACACCAAGUAAACUAGUAAAACAAAAGUGAGAAGGCCCUUGACAGAUGUGAGCCCCUUGACCUUGGACUUC